UGAACGGUGAGUGGAUCAAAGCUCAGGCGGCAUAGGAUGGGCCUGCGGCGUAUCAGGUUGUAGGGGGUGUAAAGUACCCUCUAGCCAUCUACGCGUACGGGUGUUGGGAGACAUAGCCCGGAGAUGGAUUCUGAGACACGAAUCCAGACCCUACGGGGUGCAGCAGGCGCGAAAACUUGACAAUGCGAGCAAUCGUGAUCAGGGAACUCCAAGUGGCUGGGGUAAGACCCAGUCUUUUCAUAACUCUUCAAAGGUUGUAGAAUAAGGGGUGGGUAAGGACGGUGCCAGCCGCCGCGGUAAUACCGGCGCCUCAAGUGGUAGUCGCUUUUAUUGGGCCUAAAACGUCCGUAGCCGGUUUGGUACAUUCGUGGGUAAAUCAACUCGCUCAACGAGUUGAAUUCUGCGAGGACGGCCAAACUUGGGACCGGGAGAGGUGUGGGGUACUCUCAGGGUAGGGGUAAAAUCCUGUCAUCCUGAGAGGACCACCUGUUGCGAAGGCGCCACACUAGAACGGAUCCGACGGUCAGGGACGAAGCCUAGGGGCACGAACCGGAUUAGAUACCCGGGUAGUCCUAGGUGUAAACGCUGUGGACUUGAUGUUGGAGAAGCUCCGAGCUUCUUCAGUGUCGAAGCGAAGGUGAUAAGUCCACUGCCUGGGAAGUACGGUCGCAAGGCUGAAACUUAAAGGAAUUGGCGGGGGAGCACCGCAACCUGAGGAUUGUGCGGUUUAAUUGGACUCAACGCCGGGA
rnacentral:rRNA from 1 species